rnacentral:rRNA from 1 species
UUAAAGUUGUUGCAGUUAAAAAGCUCGUAGUUGGACCUUGGACCUGGAUAGGCGGUCCGCCUCACGGCGAGUACUGUCUUGCUGGGUCUUUCCUCUUGGUGAUCUGUUGUUUCGGCAGCAGGGAACCAGGACCUUUACUUUGAAAAAAUUAGAGUGUUCAAAGCAGGCUCGACGCCGGAAUAUAUUAGCAUGGAAUAAUAAAAUAGGACGUGUGGUUCUAUUUUGUUGGUUUUUGGAACCGCCGUAAUGAUUAAUAGGGACAGUCGGGGGCAUUAGUACUCACAUGCUAGAGGUGAAAUUCUUGGAUUUUGUGAAGACUAACUUCUGCGAAAGCAUUUGCCAAGGAUGUUUUCAUUAAUCAAGAACGAAGGUUAGGGUAUCGAAAACGAUUAGAUACCGUUGUAGUCUUAACAGUAAACUAUGCCGACUAGGGAUCGGUCGAUGUUAUCUUUUUGACUCGAUCGGCACCUUACGAGAAAUCAAAGUUUUUGGGUUCUGGGGGGAGUAUGGUCGCAAGGCUGAAACUUAAAGGAA